CGAAUGUUCGAUGCGAUAUUUGAGUGACGAGGUGGCUGAGAAACUGGCGAGGCAUACGAGGAACUGAGGUGGCUGGACCGAAUGACCUCGUUGGGCCUUCCGUAAUUGCUUCCCUUGCAAGUCGCGGCGUUUGCUCAUGUCUGGUUCCGGCACAAUGCUAUCGCCGCAACCUUUCUGCCGUCCUUUACGGCAGUUGCCACAUGAGGUAGCUUCGCGGGGGUCUUUACUGGGCCUGCCCAUCUACGGCGAGACGUACUCGGCACAAGCCCAAAUUGAAGAUGUGUCGACGCUAGUACUAAUCUACUUCAGUCCGAUCACAGAGCGCUCCUCUCAGGCUGGUUCCAGGGCCAUGAUCUGCAUAAAUGACAAGGUGUUACCCCGGCGUGCCCUUAACAAUGGUCAACGUUUCGCUGCAUCUGAGCCACACCGUCGUGAACAGCUUUACCGUAUGGAACUACCACGUCCCAACGGUGGCGUCGGUGCGUAUCGUCGAAGCUGCGAAGGUGGCCCAGGACAAGAUGCUGCGCUCGCUCGACGAGAGCGUACCGUACGCCGUCAGACGAGAGGACACGGCCGCGCUUGCGAAAGCCUACUUCAGCCGAAGCAGACGAGACUAUUGCCGAGAACUUGUAGGUGUCCCUGGUCUGCCCGGUGGCCAAGAGGAAGAUUCGGGUGCCAUGCAGUGGUGCCCGCUGCUGGCACGCGCAGUGCUUAGAUGCCUACGCCUACCUUGCCCUCAAUGAAGGUACACUGCAUCCAUCCUGGAGAUGGCCCAUCUGCAACGAUCAGGUCUUCUCGAAGACAUGCGCGUCGACCUGUUCACGCUAGAUGUUCUCCACAAGGCUGACGACCAGUGUGUCGCUGUGAUGCUUCAACCCGAUGGAAGCU